rnacentral:lncRNA from 1 species
ACUUCUAAGCAGUGACAUAGUUGAUUUGUCUUUCACAAAGAGCCCACCUUCCUCUGUAUUCGGAUUUCUGGUAUGUGUGUGUGGAGAUGAUUUGUAUAUAAUUGUUUGCUUUUUUCAGAGUCUUUUGAAGUUUAAAUCUUCAAGCCCGCUCCCUAUAUUAAAAAUAAAUUCUUCCAAGCCACCAAUAAAAUGUCAGCUGUGAUUAAAGCCCAACUCUUCAUUUUAAGACUUGUCCCUUAAGCACUGUGAGGUCACUCAAUGAGUGAGCAUUUGAAAAGACCAGGACCAUUAUUGUUUGGGUAAAGCCCAAAGUUCAUCAUUGCUUGCUUUAAAUAGUUUCAUCACGUUUUAAAUUGCUUUGCAUUGUGCUGAAAGAAAUGUAAACUGCAGAAAUGAUUUGGCAGAUAACUUGUGAUAUUUCAGGCACCUAAAAUCUUGAAAAAAACCCUCUGUAUUAAUGUUGAAGUUGGUAUUUCUGGUAAGGAAAAGCUUUAUCUCCUGUCUAGUAAAGAGGAGGGUGAAGUGGGAAGCUGUGUUUGAGGCAUAAACUUUCAACUGUGUUCUCUUAAAAUAAAGCUUGGGAACUGUAAAAUCUCCAGACAAGGGCUCUUGUGCAGUGCCAAAGUCUGAUAGGGCUUUUCUAGACACAUGAACUUUAUUAAUUUUAUUAAAAUAGUGAAAAAAUAGAAGAGAGCAUUAAGCUGCAAGGGAAAGCCUUGAGAAGCAAGUCCAUACUAUUUUGAAGACUAUCUGUGGAGCCCAUUUAUAUUUUUUUGUGCACAUUAAUUGUAAUAGUCUUUAAUUACAUGAACACAUUUUAUUUUGUCACUUUUCCUCCCUGUUUGCUGCAGUGCAUGCUGUUAGGACUAUUUGGAGCAAUUAAUCACACCAGAGCAGCAAAUAACUUGGAGCACGACUCUGCCUUGGUCUCCAGCCUGUGUCAGUCUGCUGUCUGGAGAAUUGGGCCUUGGUGUGGAGGAGGAAUCCAGGAACAGCAGUUGAAUGUCUUGCCCACCUUUGGAGGCUAGUAAGAGCAGAGGUGGGAGUUCAGGUCAUUUAGCUGCCACCAACCCCCCUGGAACAUGCUCAAGUGGGGAUAAUCAGAGAUUGUCAUGAAAUCUGUUGCAAAUUCUGUCAAGUUUCAAGAAUUCUCCUUACACUCUCGGGCUUCCCCAUCAACCUUUGAUUUUUUUUUUUUUUGUUAAGCAUCAGUUAAAUCUGGUGCUUCUCUCGGAGGUGGACAGGUGCAUUUGUUGAGCCCACCUUUCCCGGGCCGGGUGGGGUGCUGAGCACGCCCGGUGGCGGCUGGAGCCCUGGAGCCGGGUGAGCUCCGGCUGCUGCGGGAGCGCUGCAGCUCGGCCCGGCAGCGAUUCGGGGCGCUGCUGCUGCUGCUCCGCGCUUUCCGUGGCCGCUGCUGGGAGCCCGGCGGCUCACGGUGUGCACAUCCCUGCCCAGAUCCCCUCCGCGUGGCCUUGGCUGGGGCUGUUCCAACCCUCUCCGCCGGCCCCGGGGCGCUGUUCACCCGCUUCAUGACGG